GACGAACGCUGGCGGCGUGCUUAACACAUGCAAGUCGAACGAAGAGCGAUGGAAGCUUGCUUCUAUCAAUCUUAGUGGCGAACGGGUGAGUAACGCGUAAUCAACCUGCCCUUCAGAGGGGGACAACAGUUGGAAACGACUGCUAAUACCGCAUACGAUCCAAUCUCGGCAUCGGGACUGGAUGAAAGGUGGCCUCUAUUUAUAAGCUAUCACUGAAGGAGGGGAUUGCGUCUGAUUAGCUAGUUGGAGGGGUAACGGCCCACCAAGGCGAUGAUCAGUAGCCGGUCUGAGAGGAUGAACGGCCACAUUGGGACUGAGACACGGCCCAGACUCCUACGGGAGGCAGCAGUGGGGAAUCUUCCGCAAUGGACGAAAGUCUGACGGAGCAACGCCGCGUGAGUGAUGACGGCCUUCGGGUUGUAAAGCUCUGUUAAUCGGGACGAAUGGUUCUUGUGCGAAUAGUGCGAGGAUUUGACGGUACCAGAAUAGAAAGCCACGGCUAACUACGUG
rnacentral:rRNA from 1 species